UACGUAGGUGACAAGCGUUGUCCGGAUUUACUGGGCGUAAAGAGCGCACAGGCGGUCGUUCAAGUCGAGUGUGAAAGCCCCCGGCUCAACUGGGGAGGGUCAUUCGAUACUGAUCGACUCGAAGGCAGGAGAGGGUAGUGGAAUUCCCGGUGUAGUGGUGAAAUGCGUAGAUAUCGGGAGGAACACCAGUGGCGAAGGCGACUACCUGGCCUGUUCUUGACGCUGAGGCGCGAAAGCUAGGGGAGCAAACGGG
rnacentral:rRNA from 1 species